rnacentral:tRNA from 2 species
GCCGCGGUAGCUCAGGGGUAGAGCAAACGACUGAAAAUCGUUGGGUCGUCAGUUCGAUUCUGACCCGCGGCA